rnacentral:lncRNA from 1 species
CAAGUCGCUUUUCCUACUUUCAAUUUCAACUUGUACAGUCGAUUUGCAGUCCUCAAUACCUUUACUAGUAACCUCCCUUCAGGGUCUCUUAAUGUUAAGAAGUUGUUUUUCAUUCGAACAUCACAACCUUGCUCAGUUGCUUGUCCCAGACUCAAGAUGUUACUCUUUAGCUCCGGGAUAUAGUAGAUGUCUUGUAACAGCUUCUGCUCCCCUGU